GUUCUUAUCCAUUUUAAUAGUAGAGAGACUAAGAAGGAGGCAACGUCGUUCGUAUCUUUUCUACUUUCAUGCGAGAGAAAUAAUAUUUCUACGAUUCUACGACGCCAUAUUUUUUUUUUUUUUUUUUUUUGCUAAUACUAUCAUAAACAUUUUUAGCUUCAGAUAGAUUUAUUUAGAUUUGAUUUAUGAUUGAACAUUUUUCAUAUAAACGACGAUUAUCAAGUAUUAUUGGGCAAUGAUGCUUUAAGUAUAAUUCCUAUUGACUUGUUGUAGUGCUGGAGCAUAAACAUAUGCCAUUGUAUACAAAUAAAAAUUGAGAAGACCAUAUAGAGCCAUAAAUUGUGCUGAUGUGCGAUAGUAUGUA